AUCCAGGUAAUGAGUCCCAAAUAGGACGAAACGCGCGUUAUCCUGGAU
rnacentral:hammerhead_ribozyme from 1 species